UUUUAAAGGGCAUAUAUGGCUUUUUGAUCAUAGAUUGUGAUUUUUUUUUUUAUAUAUAUACAAACCAUCUUUCUGUUCCCAAAAUUUCAAAAAGGCUUAAUUAUCUUUCUUUAAUUGGAUCUCAAAAGUCUAUCUGGUAACCCUUUUUGUUAACUAAUGUAAUGAUAUCAGAUACCAAUAAUGGAAAGAGCUAUGGAUCCUGCUUACUGACCUCUGGUUCUUAUCUCAUAGUGGAAAGAAUGUUGUUCUUUAUGAGACAUAAUUGUGAAUCUUCUACACACAUUGCAUACAGCUCAUUGGUCACAGAGUCUAAGUGUGAUGGAAGGGAGCCCCAGGUAAUGAUUGAUACCUUAGACUCCAUGAUGUGAGGAAGCCAGGCAUUUAAAUGUCUGUAUUAAUCAUCAGUGAGGCAUAGCUGAUAUCUCCCUAGGCACCGUGAGUAGCACUGCCAUUCAGUGUACCCACCCUCUGCAUGCAGACACUGAACUUUCCUCAUAGAGAUACAUUGAAUCAAUUUAUCUCUAUGAGGAGAUGCUGAUUGGCCAGUGCUGUGUUUGACUUGUACUGGCUCUGCCCCUGAUCUGCCUCCUAGACAGUCUCAGCCAAUCCUAUGGGGAAGAAUUAUGAUUGGCUCAGGCCACCACUUCUGAUGAUGUCAGCAGACAGGGGCAGAGCCAGCAGCUGCAGACUUGAAUACAAGUAAGAUUUUACUAUAUAUAGGUAGGCAAG